CGUAUUUUUAAUAGCGCAUUAUUAAAAACGCUAUCUUUGACUUUUUAAAUCUCUAAACCCUAAACAAGUUUUAAACCCUAAACUUUAAACAUAACUUCAAAAUCUAACUAUUUUGAUAUCAAAUCUUAAAUUUAACCUCAAAUAUUAAAUAUAAAUUCAAAAAUUAUUUCUUUUUCAAUAAUUAAUCUUAAAUCCCAAUACCUUAAACCUUUAACCCCAAACCCUAUACUCAAACCUUUAUUCUAAACUCAUAACUUUAAAUCUAAAAUCUAAAUUCAAAAAAAAAAAUCAAACUUAAACAUAAUUCUUCAAAUUAAUUCAAAUUUAUUUUCGAAUUUUAACUUAAAGUCUUAACCUUGAACUCUAAACCUUAUAUACUCAAAUCUUAUAUAUCAUAAUAAACCUCAAACCUUCAAUUUAUACAUUUAGUUAUUAAACUAAAUCAUAAAUCACAAAUCUAAUAUUCUCAAACUUAAACACCAAACUUUGAGCAUACAUUUUUAAAAUUUUAAUAUGUUUAAAUUUUAAACCUUUAAACUAAUUUUAUUUACUAUACUCUUGUAUUUUAAACCUUUAAACUAAUUUCAUUUUACAUUUAAAGACCCCAAACCCUAUACUCAAACCUUUAUUCUAAACUCAUAACUUUAAAUCUAAAAUCUAAAUUCAAAAAAAAAAAUCAAACUUAAACUUUAUUCUUCAAAUAAAUUCAAAUUUAUUUUCGAAUUUUAACUUAAAAUCUUAACCUUGAACUCUAAACCUUAUAUACUCAAAUCUUAUAUAUCAUAAUAAACCUCAAACCUUCAAUAUACAC
rnacentral:lncRNA from 1 species